rnacentral:rRNA from 1 species
UACGUAGGGUGCAAGCGUUGUCCGGAAUUAUUGGGCGUAAAGAGCUCGUAGGCGGUUCGGUAAGUCGGGUGUGAAAACUUUGGGCUCAACCCAAAGCCUGCACCCGAUACUGCUGUGACUCGAGUCCGGUAGGGGAGUGGGGAAUUCCUGGUGUAGCGGUGGAAUGCGCAGAUAUCAGGAGGAACACCGGUGGCGAAGGCGCCACUCUGGGCCGGUACUGACGCUGAGGAGCGAAAGCGUGGGGAGCGAACAGG